rnacentral:lncRNA from 1 species
UGACUUUAAAGGGCAACACUUUGAAUUAAUACCGUUUGGUGCUGGCAGAAGAAUUUGUCCUGGGUUGAAUAUGGGAAUCGCAACUGUGGAUCUCGCAUUUGCUAAUCUUCUUUAUAAAUUUGAUUGGGAAAUGCCGCCUGGAAUGAAGAGCCAAGACUUGGACUUUGAUGUUCUGCCGGGAAUUACUAUGCAUAAGAAGAAUGCUCUCGCUCUUUUGGCUAAGUAUCAUGAGUAGGUAAAUUAAGGCACCUCGGACCAACAAAGUGUUGGCUCCACUGGCAAUGGAGUCCCCUUAAGUGGCUUGACUGGGUUUGCUCCCCAGUUCGAGUCACAGGGAAGUCGCCUUUGUUGGGAGAACCUGUGCCUCCCAGUUCAAGCGGGGACUUCUAGUCUGGGUUGUGGUACGGGCUUAAAGGUGCCUCCCACAAUUGAGGCCCUCCCCAGGAUACCUCGUGAUUAAUAUAAAAAAAAAAAUAAAAAUUAAGGCACCUCGGACAAUAAGAGUUUGAUCUAAACUAAAUAUAUGUUAUAGAGAUUGCAUGUAUGUCCUCAAUUGUGCUUCUCAUGUUUCCUUUCUUUCUUCUUAUGUAUAAUGAAUGUUGAUGUCUAAGUGCCCACAGGCUGAGUGGUUUUUAAUAAUUAAUCUCUUUUAUUUCAAAAUUUUGGGAGAUAAGGACUAGAGAAUAAUGGGUACUCUGCCCACUCUCCUAUACUAAAUUGAAAAAAAAAGGUUGAUAUGAAUGUGAAUAUUAAUCUACUACGUUCAUUUCGUCUCAUAUUUUUUCUCCUACAUUUUUUGCUUUAAAUUUAACUUUUAUCACUUAACCUGCUAUCUUUUUAUAUGAUUGGAUAGAGAUUGAAAUUUUUGCUGUUCCAUCUCAAUGUUAAUGCUUAUAUUAUCUUCACACCUUUACUGUAAUUUACUACUUUUACUAUUAGAUGCUGAUAGGGUCUUUUCUUGGAGAUUGCUUCACAAAAAAGUCUGAAAGAAGAUUUUGUCGAUCGGAUAGCAAGCUUAUCCAUAUAGUUUAAUGGAUUAUCUGCAAGAGCUCUUUUUAGUGUGCAUACAGUUGUCCCUUCAUGUUAGCAUAUUUAUUCUGUCGUCAAUGAACUUUUGCAUUUAAAUGGUAUCAGUUCAAUGGGUUUAAAGACAACUUGAGGUUAAUGUGGGACCAUUUCUUGUCAUGCCAGCAACUGUUGACAUAAACAACAGGCUGCAAGCUUCCCCUACUCCUGUUCAUAUUUGCAUUUGUGUGCAUCUUGUACUUGUUGUUGCAGAAAGAUGAAUAUGUAAGAAUAAGAUCGUGUUUGUAUCCAAUGGUCAAAUGUUUUUGCAAAAAAUGUCGUUGCUUGAGUUCCUCAAUUCUCAUGCUGAACUUCUAAUUUUGUACAUUUCUUUAACUUAAUUUUUUUUGUAUAAAUUUGGUAGUUUCUGUGUAAAAGUGUUUUAUAUUUUCAUGUGUGGAAUAAAUAUCAAUGGCCAACAACAGUAAGAGUUUGAUUUUAUUUGUAAGACAUGUCUUUCAAAAUUAAGCUAGUGACAUACUUGGAUCACUUGGGAUCCACUUGCAAAUGUAUUUUGAAGAAAAGUUUUCUCCCCGCCUUUUAUGUAAUCACACCCACCAGUAAUAUGGUAAUUUAUUGAAAGGUCCUUGAUGCCCGGUUAAAGUUAUAA